rnacentral:rRNA from 1 species
AGACCUCUGAUCAGAAAAGACUACCCGCUGAGUUUAAGCAUAUCACUAAGCGGAGGAGAAGAAACUAACCAGG